GCCGGGGUAGCAAAGUGGAUAGAUUAGUAAAAUAAGCUUUCUGAUUUUUUCUUUGUUUCUUUUCUUUUCCUGUAGACUGCGCUGGCCUUGAGAGCCAGUGGCGCUUUUGCGCCGCGUGGGUUCGAAUCCCACCCCCGGCGCCA
rnacentral:tRNA from 1 species